CACUAAGAAGCUAACCAGGACAGCAUUAGCCUUUUAAGCUAAAGAACGGUGGCUCGAAACCACCCUUAGUGG
rnacentral:tRNA from 1 species